ensembl:lincRNA
CCCCUGAAUCUCCGCAGCGCCGUCGCCAGCACCUCCUCCCCGAGCCUGAGCAGGGGCCUCUCUGUGACAGGUCCGCGUCUCACAGUCCAGAGUCUGGAUUCACGUCGUGUCCAAGAGGGACCCCCAGAGGACCGCCCGCGGGCGGUCAGGCUGGGGUUUUGGAAGGGCCGCUCUGCAGCCGUCUGGAGGCAGGGAGACGACGCAGGAGACGGGUACAGGAGUCCAGGGAGGGACGGCAAGGGCCUGCACCGUGGCAGGGAGAGACGCGUGUGCCCUGGGGCCCCGGGGGCGGUGACAGUGAUGACGUAUGAGGAGGGAAGCAAGGAGCCAGAGCAGACGGGAAGGCGGAGGCGAGUACUCACAGCCAGCCAGCACGCAACGACCUUGGCCCUUCCUCACCAGGAGGUUUGCCCAGCAGACGCCCUGGAUUCUUGCAAAGCUUACGCGUACAGAAAGGAGGGGCCUACGGUGGACACGCCCCAGCUGUUACUCCGGUGCAGAGCAGGGUCCUCUCCUGAUACUGGGGAAACAGGCUGUGCUUUCCGAGAGAAAAGCCUGGAGAGCCCUGAGGAGUCGCACGGCACAUGCGGACACGCUGCCCUCGGCGCAGGCACUGCACGUGGUGUGGACUAUAGCCAUGGCUCCCUCACCGCCCCAGCGCCCACACUGCGCUGCACACAGGAUGGCUGCUAGACAUGGUGGCUUGUAGGCGCCCCUCCAGCUCACACAUGGCUAUCUCUAAAGGACUAAAUCAGGCUUAACUUCGGGGACAGCCACUGAAGCAGGGAAGAUGCAAUCUCCCUGCUCGUCCAUGCUCCCCCUCACAAAGCCCACGGAGCAACGCAAUUGGAACUCAGACCUCCGACCUGUCCACCGGCUGCGGUAGAGCCUCCACCAGGCCGCGCCCUGAUGCCUGGCAGAGCAGGGCCCACCAGGAGAGAAGACAGCAGAGACGGGACAUGCUAGCUUCCUCCCUCUGCCUGGAGGCAUUCCACUCCACUGUCCUUGGAAGACAAGAGGGACAGUGUGGGGGAGAAACGCGUCUGCCAGCCACCAGAGGCAACACGGCCACUGUCCUGGUGACUCGCCAUUUCAGCGCUGACUUUGGGCUGCUUUUAACACCCAGCGGCCUUCGUUAUAAACGAAUUUCAUUCCCAAAAGAUCAUUAGAAUUCAGAAGUCUAUGAACAGGGAAGGAGAUUUGGCCCAGUGGUUAGGGCGUUUGCCUACCACAUGGGAGGUCCAGGGUUCAAACCCCGGGCCUCCUUGACCCGUGUGGAGCUGGCCCAUGCGCAGUGCUGAUGGCGCAAGGAGUGCCCUGCCACGCAGGGGUGUCCCCCGCGUAGGGGAGCCCCACGUGCAAGGAGUGCGCCCCAUGAGGAGAGCCGCCCAGCACGAAAGAAAGUGCAGCCUGCCCAGGAAUGGCGUCACACACACGGAGAGCUGACACAGCAAGAUGACACAAAAAGAGACAGAUUCCCAGUGCCACUGACAAAAAUACAAGCGAACACAGAAAAACACACAGAGAUUGGACACACAGAGCAGACAACGGGGAGGGAGGGAAGGAGGGGAAGGGGAGAGAAAUACAUAAAUAAUAAAUCUUUAAAAAAAAAAAAAAGUCUAUGAACUGGGAUUCCUCCAAAUAAGGAAACUGCCCAUGGACCUUGGGCACUGAAAUCUUUCCAGCUAUGGGCAGGAGAGAGAGUGUACUUUCAACGUGGCAAACAAAAUUAAGCCUUUAAGCCAAUCAUUUCUAGAGAAAUCACCAGACUUUUAGUGUAAUAGGUCACAGGGCUCAGCAUGCUGCUUUCGGUUAAAGCUUUGACCUGUUCAAAGGACUCUGCACAUCCAGAUCUUUUGUCAUCAAUCUGCAGUUUACCAAUUUCAGUGAACACCAUGGAUGCCUAUGGUGUCAGCGUAAAAACAAUAAAUAAAAUCAACGUUAAGAAUCUGCCUGCAAAGACAGUGUGAUUUAAUGACAUGAUAAUGUAAAUAAAAUAAAACAAGACCUUGGAGUCAAUCAGACCUCAGUUUGAAUUCCAGCUUUGGUAGCUGUGUAAUUAAGGUCAAUAUAUUUAUUCUCUUUGAGCCCUAGUUUUCUCAUUGGUAAAAUGGGGAUGGUUACACCUGUCCCCUGGGACUUGAUUUUCUUACAAAAGUUAAAGGAAAUAAUGUUUAAAAGUACCAAGCACCAUCACUGAUACAUAAUAUGUAUUUAGUAAACACUAGUGCCCUUUGCUGUAAAAAUUUGAAAAGCACUACAUCAUCGUUGUGAAGUAGCAUCAUUCUGCACAUUUGCAGAGGAGUUAACCAAAAUGGGAGGAAAAUGGAUUCAAGANNNNNNNNNNNNNNNNNNNNNNNNNNNNNNNNNNNNNNNNNNNNNNNNNNNNNNNNNNNNNNNNNNNNNNNNNNNNNNNNNNNNNNNNNNNNNNNNNNNNCGUGUGUGCAGCACCAUUCCUGGGCAGGCUGCACUUUCUUUUGCGCUGGGCGGCUCUCCUUCCGGGGCGCACUUGCGCGUGGGGCUCCCCCACGCGGGGACACCCCUGCGUGGCACGGCACUCCUUGCGCACAUCAGCACUGCGCACGGGCCAGCUCCACACGGACCUCCCACAUGGUAGGCGGAAGCCCUAACCGCUGGGCCAAGUCCGCAUCUCACAUGUACAUCUUGAUUCAUGAUAUGGUGAGAGAACAGAAGACUUAAACGGCUUUUAAAGAGCUUACAUCCAGGACAGGGGGACAAAAUGUUCAUAUGCAAACACUCAGCCACAUAAAAACCAUAACACAACCCUACUGAGCACUCACAAUGUGCCAAUCCUCACAGACCAUUUGAGGAGUAUGGUCUCAUCUGAUCCUGGUAACGACCCGAUUAGGUAGUUACUGUUAUUCUGCAUUUUGCAGAUGAGUAAAUUUGGGCGUAGCAAGGUUAAGCAACUCACCAGGCCGCAGGGUUCACACGUGGCUUUGAACUCCAGCAGUCUGACUCUAUAAACACUGGAAUGGUCAGACUAGUUACAGCGACCUCACAGGAGAGCCCAGAGAAAGAGCAAGGUGCAGUGGGAUUAGUGUGAAAAGCUUUCUUGGAGAACCUGAGUUGGGCCUUAAAGGAAAAAUGGGAUUUGCACUGGCAGAAGGGAGGGGAGAGGAAGCAGGGUGAGGAUCCUACUCCAGGAGGAAUCUCCUGCUGGAACCUCCGAAGCACCGCAGAGGAAAGCAGAAACUUCCAAGGGGAAAGGAAACUGAAAGGGGAAUUCCUUUACAAAUUCUGCUUCAGUCAGUCUACAAAAUAAUAAUGUCCUACAUGUUUUUUUUUUUAACAAGUCAGUUUCAUUGAUAAUGUUAAUAAAGCAUAAAUCCAUCCCAAGGGUACAAUCAAUGGCAUUCAGUAUAAUCACAAAGUUGUGCAUUCAUCAAUAUAAUCGUUUUUAGAGCAUUUUCAUUAUUCCAGUAUUAAUACUAAGAAACAGAAAACAAUCAAACAACUCAUCACCUCUCAAUCUCUCUGUGCUUGCCCUACCUUACAUAGCUGCUAUUGUUUGCUUCUCUCUAGUUUAUUUGUAUUUAUAUUUUGUAACAUCCUUACAUAUAUGCAGUAUCACCCAUAUUUGUGGGUUUUUUCAAAGAUUUAUUUAUUCCCCCUCCCCCUACCCCCCCCCAUUCACUGUGUGCUCUUCUGUGACCACUUCUAUCCUUAUCAGUAGCACUGGGAAUCUGUGUUUCUUUUGUUGCGUCAUCUUGCUGUGUCAGCUCUCCGUGUGUGCCGCGCCAUUCCUGGGCAGGCUGCACUUUCUUUCGCACUGGGCGGCUCUCCUUACGGGGUGCACUCCUUGUGCAUGGGCUCCCUUGCGCAUGGGGCUCCCCUGCACAGGGACACCCCUGCGUGGCAAGGCACUCCUUGCACGCAUCAGCACUGCGCAUGGGCCAGCUCCACACGGGUCAAGGAGGCCCGGGGUUUGAACCGCGGACCUCCCAUGUGGUAGACGGACACCCUAACCACUGGGCCAAGUCCGCUUCCCCAUAUUUGUGUUUCACAUGAGGUUUCACUAUGUCAAACAGUCUCAGGCUACAUCUUUAGCUUUCCUUCUAGCUAUAUACAAGACCUUAGACUUCCCCUUUCACGCGCUGUCAUGCCCAUACAAUAGUUCUGCUAGUUACAAACGCCAUAAGCUUUAACCAUUUCCAUUCAUUUCCAAAUAUUACAAACAACCUUUUAAUCAAUUCUGCACACACUAACCCUUGGCUUUUCAUUCUGCACCCUCAUUCUAUUUCCUGGUGACCUAUAUUCUAAUCACUAACUUCAUGAGUUUAAGGCCCUGCAUUUUUAAAGGACUCACCGUAAUUUACAAAAUGCUUCCACUAAUAAUGACGAGGCAGCAUUUAUUGAGUGAUUUACAGUAAACCAGGCACUACACUAGGCUCGCUCCAGCAUCAACACGCUCCUAAGAGCUGGAUUCUAGUAUUCCUCCUAGAUGAGACAACAGAAGCCGAGGUCAGCUGACAGGCGGCAAGGGCAGGGCUUGCGCCCGCAUUCUCUAGCUCUAGCGGCCGCACAUUAGCCGCACAACCCUCAAAACGACCUCCUUCGUAAGCAGGGCAAGUGCUAUCUCCACUUUGCAGAUGGAGAAAGCAAGCCUAGAAGAGGGCAAGCAAGCUACGUUCACACCACCCCUAAGAAAACCGGGUUUUGUGGCACCACCU